rnacentral:piRNA from 1 species
UACAUUUCAAAUGUUAUUCCCUCGCCUGGU